GACAGAGGGGGCAAGCGUUGCUCGGAAUCACUGGGCGUAAAGAGCUCGUAGGCGGCCUGUUGCGUCCGCUGUGAAAGCCCGGGGCUUAACCCCGGGUCGGCAGUGGAUACGGGCAGGCUAGAGGUAGGUAGGGGAGAAUGGAAUUCCCGGUGUAGCGGUGAAAUGCGCAGAUAUCGGGAGGAACACCGGUGGCGAAGGCGGUUCUCGGGGCCUUACCUGACGCUGAGGAGCGAAAGCGUGGGGAGCGAACAGG
rnacentral:rRNA from 1 species